rnacentral:lncRNA from 1 species
AAAACACAAAAGCUAUUUUAUUGCAUAACUUGUAUGAAUAACUAGAAAAAAUUAUCAUAUUUCUUAUUAAAAUCAAAUUCAGUACAAUAUUGAUCCCAAUAUAGACAUGGAUAUAUGAUGCUCAAACCAAUUACAUAUCUCUAGCUAAUUAAUCCCAUGGUGUCCCUUUCCUUUCCCUUUUCUCGAGGAGAGUGGAAGAGGUGGGAUGCUCUGCUCAUGCCUGAAGAAGUUGUCGGGAUCAACUUUGGUCUUGGCUUGUACCAACCUGUUGAAGUUGUUCUUGAAGUACUUGGUACCCCAGACACUUGCUUCUUUAACGCUUGUGUUCCUUUUCUUGUUCAUCCCCAGAUCGAGGUCCCUGUAAUUGACAUAUGCUUGCCUUGGAAACAUGGAAACAUAAGGUGCCAUGUAGUUGUAAAGGUUCCUGAUCCAAUCUAUAUGCUUUGAAGUAGGGGUGUUAAAAAAAACCGACCAACCGAUUAAACCGAAAAAACCGAAAAAAAAUUAACCGAAAAGCCGAACCGAUAAAAAAACCCGAAUAAACCGAUUAAAAAAUAAAAAAAACCGACUGGUCCGGUUCGGGUCCGGUUUAAAAAAGCUUAAACCGAUUGAACUGGACCAAACCGAACCGGUUUAAUUAUAUCUAAAAAAAGAGUAUAAAAAGAAAAUCUUAACCCUAAAACUAAAUACCCUAACCCUCACAGCAACCCCCCCCUCCUUUCCCCCCUUCCCCCCCUCUCUUUCCCCUUUCCUUUUCCCAUAACCUUAAUAGUCGCCCCUCUCCUUUUCCCCCUUCCCCCCCUCUCUUUCCCCCUUCCUUUUCCCACUCUACCUUUCGAGUUUUCUUCCUCCCCCCCUUCCAAGUUGUGUAGUAGGUCAAGGAGAAAACAAGGAUCCAACGCAGAGUAGGUUCAAUAAAUUUUCUCUGUUUGCUUCCAUUUAUCAUGGGGUUUUCAUUUGCUGAGAGGCACAUAGGAUGGAAGCUAUAAUCUGUUAACACGUGAUGGAUGUGAAGUUGUGUUCUUCGAGGCUAUAUGUGAAUCGGAUGGAUUCCCCCACUUGUGAAGAUGGCCAUCAGAAAAUAAUGAUGAUUUUGGCCGCUACAAACUUUUCCUGGGACAUAGAUGAGGCACUAAGAUUGUUUCAUUGUCUUCUUGUAAAUAUUUUUGAGAUUUUUUUGUUUUAUGGAAGCCUUAGAUUCAUCUUAAAUGGCAAUCUAUCGAAGAUGUAGUACACCAUCUCGUUCCUUCAUUGGCACAAAGCCCAGAUUAAGGUAUACAACAGCAGCAACAAAAAUGCUUCGGUUUUUCUGGUUGUUGGAUGCUAAAAACCGACCCGAACCGAACAAAACCGAUUCGGUUUGAACUGGUUCUCGGUUCGGUUCGAGUUAUAUGAACAAGGACUAUUAAUUUUUGGUUUGGUUGAAUUUUUGGGUUAAAACCGGACCGGACCGGACCGUGAACACCCCUACUUUGAAGCAUCCUCUGAAGGAGUUUGCCAGCCGGUCAAGUACUGGAUCUUGAAGAGGAUACCUUUUCUGUGCGGGAAAGGAAUUGAUGACUCUGAAAUCUUGCUCAUCAUUCCAUCGUAAGGAUUCCAUAUCAGGAAAGGAGUCACUUCUUGAAAAUACCUUUUCCAUAUCCCCUCUAGUGCGGUUUCAGGUAUGGGAUGUUGGACAAACUCUGGCUUGGCUUUGAAGUAGACCUUGAAUGUUGACUUUCCUUGCAGCAGAACUUCAGGAGGUGUAUUUGUUAAGGAAAUCAAGCACUGAUUAGGCAACCAAAUCAGCACUGAAUAGGCAGCAAAUUUGUAAUUGAACAGUUAAUUAUUUGUUUCCUUGUUUGUAAAUAAUUAGGCUUGAUUAUAGGCAAUAGUGCAGGAUCCUGAUGUAGAACUAUCAGUAUAUAUAUUGUAAUCUUUUCAUUGAUUGAAAUAAUAAGAAGAAUAUUAUUUCUCUUCAUGGUAUCAGAGCAAUAGUCUAGGUAUCAAAAUAAAACACAAAGCCUUCAGCUGACUCCUAUGGCAGACCAAGGAAGCACAGCAGCAGGCGCAAGAUGGGAUCAUCCCAAUCAUCAACUUUAUCUUCAUCAUUCAGACCAACCUGGCACUGUUCUUGUGCCACAAUCCUUGGUUGAAGACAACUAUAGUACAUGGAGCCAAUCCAUGACUAUGGCUUUGACAGUUAAAAAUAAGAUUGGGUUCAUAGAUGGCUCAAUGAAGGAGCCUGAUGAGAAGAAGUUUGAUGAACAUCAACAAUGGAACCGAUGCAAUAGUCUGGUGAAAACUUGGCUAUUAGGAUCCAUGUCCAAAGAAAUUGCCACAAGUGUCAUCAACUGCAAAGAUGCCAGACAGAUGUGGCUUGACUUACAGGAACAAUUCUCGCAUGUAAAUGUGGUUCAACUAUUUAAUGUUGAGAAUGAAAUUCAUGACUAUAUGCAAGGAAACAUGUCUGUAGGGUCUUACUUCACAAAGCUAAAGGGCCUAUGGGAUGAACGUGAUGCACUUUGUACUUUUCCAACAUGCACUUGUGGGGCAAUCAAAGAAGUAGCUGCAUAUAUGGAGACAUAGAAAACCAUGAAAUUCCUCAUGGGUCUUAAUGAUUCAUACGUAGGUGUUCGCAGCAACACUUUGUUACAAGAUCCACUACCCACAGUAAACAAAGCAUAUUCACUGGUCAUUCACCAUGAGAAACAGUCAGAGGUGACAACCGGGAAAAGCCAUGCUCAGCCUGAGGCUGCUGUCUUCGCAACAAGGAAUUCAACCUAUGAGAUUGAAGCUGAACUGAGAUGCUUCAAGUGUAACAGAACAAACCACACUGCCAAGGAUUGCCGUGCACAUCUCAGAUACACCUUUUGUCGCUGGAAGGGACAUACAGCAAAAUAUUGUCGUAAAAAGAAAGCAGUGACUAAAGCUGAGUUUAAUGCGACAAUUUCCAAAGGCAACCAAGUGGCAUCACACAAGAAUGAAAGAAAUGAGAUGAGUUUUCCCUUCAUAGCUGAAGAAUGCAAACAGAUACUCGGCAUACUAAAGAAUAAAACAACUUCUGCCAAUCAUGUUAGUAACUGCCCAACUCAUGAUGAACUCUCGGGUAAGGUUUUUUCACUCAUUUCUAAUGGCAACAGAAGUACAUGGAUUUUGGAUAGUGGAUGCACAGAUCAUAUGAUUUCUGAUCAAAACCUGUUCACAUACUCAAGACCUGUCAAUGGCCGCACUGUUGAAUUACCAAAUGGGUCAAUAACACAAGUAACUCAUAUUGGCAGAGUUCACCUAUCCUCUGAUUUAAUUCUUGACAAUGUUUUGUGUGUCCCAUAUUUCCGAUUGAACUUGAUUUCAAUUAGCAAGCUUGCAUCCGAUUCCUCUUGUAUAACCAUCUUUCUAAGCCAGUUUUGUGUGAUUCAGAACCUACGUUCGGGGAAGAUGAUUGGGACGAGAAUUGAAAGGGAGGGUCUAUAUGUUCUCGACCAAGCCAAGAAAUGAACAUGCAACCAUGCCCAAACUCUUCAUCCGAACCUUUGGCAUCAACGUCUUGGACAUCCCUCAACCAAAGUAUCCCAGUUAUUUCCUAAAGUUAAUUCUUGUUCUCAUGACAAAUGUUUAAUUUGUCCAUUAGCAAAACAAACAAGACUUCCAUUUUCUUCAAGUUCCAUUACCAGUACAUCUCCAUUUGAUUUAAUCCAUGUUGACAUUUGGGGUGGUUAUAAAGUUGCUUCUAUUUCAGGUGCAAAAUAUUUUCUCACUAUCGUUGAUGAUCACACUAGAUGCACAUGGAUUUAUCUUAUGAAACACAAAUCAGACACUAAGGAUCUUCUAGUCAACUUCAUCAACAUGGUUGAAAAUCAAUUUGAUUUCAAGGUCAAAAUUAUUCGUAGUGACAAUGGUCUUGAAUUCAAACUCGAAAGCUUUUACGCUAAUAAAGGUAUCAUUCACCAAACUAGUUGUAUUAAUACUCCACAAAAAAAUGGUGUUGCCGAACGUAAACAUAGACAUUUGUUAAAUAUGGCACGUACCUUACUUAUUCAGGCCGGUCUUUCUCAUCAAUUUUAGGGGGAUGCUAUUCCUGCUUCCGCUUACCUCAUCAAUCGCACACCAACCCCUAUUCUCCACGGAAAGACACCAUAUGAAUUCCAAGCUGCUUUGAGCAAAUAACAGCAGCUUGGAUGUGAGAUUCCUGUAAUGGAGUGAAUAUAAACUCUGGUUUUGGUAGUGAAGGCGCUAUGAAUCUGAGGUUUUGAGCAGAAGAUUGCAGAAUAGUAGUGUAUGAAAAGUCAAGGCCGUGCAUCUCAUGAGUCUGGGCUUCUUGAUCAAUCUAAUCAAAUUCGUCGCGCGUCUAGGGCACAAAAACAGUAAUACCUUUGCCCUAUGACAUUCCUACAUGUGAUGUCUCUCUUUUAAAGCCCAAGUACUAUUGCUUUUUUUUUCUUCGUAUUAUAGGCUUUUUGUUAUUACAAAGUUGAUUAAAAGCAAUUUGUUAUUUUAAUAAAUAUAAAAUAAUAUUUUAAUACAACAAUUAUUGAUAUUUACAACUCAUAGCACGUGAAAAGCGUUCAUGUUCUUUUAACAGCUUAUGUUAUACCUUUAGCGGUCAAAUACUCUCUUUCACCUAGUGGGGCAACAAAUAAAGGUGAAGGAGGCACAAGAUGGUUUUCUUUUUUUCUUUUUUUUUCUCUUUUUUUCUAUCAAAGAUUAUACUGGUUAUUCAAAUUUUCAAAAUUGUCCUCUUUUGUUAUUGAUAUUUCAACAUUGAUAAUUAUUUUUUAUUUCAAUUUUUUGUCUAGUCCCUUUUAUAAAAUUUUAUUUUUCAAUCUUAAUUUGUUAUGUAAUAUAUUUCUUUUCAAUUUAAUGUUUAUUCUUUUGAUUUUUUUUAUUGACCCUUUUGUGCAAUUUUUAUUUGCUUUUAUUUUUUUUUCAAUUUCAUUUUUUUUAAAUAAGCUUUGUGAUUUCCUUUAUUUUUUUUAUUGAAUUAUCUCAAUCUCAUGAUUUGGACUUUAUAUUUGACAGGUUAACCUUAUUCGACUCAUCUCUUAUUAUCUAAAUUACAAGUUUUUUAUGUUAACUCGCUUUGACUAAGAAUUGAGAUGCAUCGUUUUUUACCCAAUUACGUCCUUCCAUAUUUAUUGACUAAGAAUUAAGAUGCAUUAUUUUUUUCCUUAAAAAAAAAGGUUUCUUUUCCAAGUUAUCAUGAUUAUUUUUUGUAAAUGAUUUAUUUACUAUUAUUUCUUUUUAUAUCAUCUAAUUAAAAUAAAACAAACUUAAUUGAUCUAAUCGAGUUUAUAACUCGAUUCAUGAAUUUUAUUUUAAAAAAAUAUGUUUACAACACCUUAAUAUAUAUUUUAAAAAGAAGAUAAUAAUUUAGCAUUGUAGCAUAACAUACAUCAUGUAGAGUGUAUAAAUAUAUAAAGAUAGAAUAUCUUUAAAUUCUACACUACAAGAACAAAAUUUGGUUGCAUAUUAUAUUGUUUUUAAUUUUUAUAAAAUAAAAUAAAAAUAAUAAGAUUUAAAUUCAUGAAAGUUUAAUCAAUAAAUAAUUACCUUUGAAAGAUGAAAUUUAGCCUCAUGAAAUUCAGCUUGUCAAUUUUACAAUGGUCCUAAACGUCAAAAUCUCGAAACCAUCUUCUCAUUAACACCAUGUUAUCUUUUGCAACAGCUCUUAAUCUCAUGAUAGGAAUAUUGCACAAUGAAGGACAACAAUUGUCUACCAGUGUUCAUCAAUUGUCCUAUUCAUUGACCCUUUUGUGCAAUUUUUAUUUGCCUUUAUUUUUUUUUCAAUUUUUUUUUUAAUAAGCUUUGUGAUUUCCUUCAUUUAUUUUAUUGAAUUAUCUCAAUCUAAUGAUUUGGACUUUAUAUUUGACACGUUAAUCUUAUUCGACUCACCUCUUAUUAUCUAGAUUACAAUUUUUUUAUGUUAACUCGCUUUGACUAAGAAUUGAGAUGCAUCGUUUUUUACCCAAUUACGUCCUUCCAUAUUUAUUGACUAAGAAUUAAGAUGCAUUAUUUUUAUCCUUUAAAAAAAAAGGUUUCUUUUCCAAGUUAUCAUGAUUAUUUUUUGUAAAUGAUUUAUUUACUAUUAUUUAUUUUUAUAUCAUCUAAUUAAAAUAAAACAAACUUAAUUGAUCUAAUCCAGUUUAUAACUUGAUUCAUGAAUUUUAUUUUAAAAAAAAUAUAUUUACAACACCUUAAUAUAUAUUUUAAGAAGGUAAUAAUUUAGCACUGCAGCAUAACAUAAAUCAUGUAGAGUGUAUGAAUAUAUAAAGAUAGAAUAUCUUUAAAUUCUAAACUACACCAACAAAAUUUGGUUACGUAUUAUAUUGUUUUUAAUUUUUAUAAAAUAAAAUAAAAAUAAUAAGAUUUAAAUUCAUGAAAGUUUAAUCAAUAAAUGAUUACCUUUGAAAGAUGAAAUUUAGCCUCAUGAAAUUCAGUUUGCCACUUUUACAAUGGUCCUAAACGUCAAAAUCUCGAAACCAUCUUCUCAUUAACACCAUGUUAUCUUUUGCAACAGCUCUUAAUCUCGUGAUAGGAACAUUGCACAAUUGAAGGACAACAAUUAUCUACAAGUGUUCAUCAAUUGUCCUAUUCAUUGACCCUUUUGUGCAAUUUUUAUUUGCUUUUAUUUUUUUUUUCUAUUUUUUUUUUAAAUAAGCUUUGUGAUUUCCUUCAUUUUUUUAUUUAAUUAUCUCAAUCUCAUGAUUUGGGCUUUAUAUUUGACAGGUUAACCUUAUUCGACUCACCUCUUAUUAUCUAGAUUACAAUUUUUUAUGUUAACUCGCUUUGAUAAGAAUUGAGAUGCAUCGUUUUUACCCAAACGUCCUUCCAUAUUUAUUGACUAAGAAUUAAGAUGCAUUAUUUUUUUCCUUAAAAACAAAGGUUUCUUUUCCAAGUUAUCAUGAUUAUUUUUUUGUAAAUGAUUUAUUUACUAUUAUUGCUUUUUAUAUCAUCUAAUUAAAAUAAAACAAACUUAAUUGAUCUAAUCGAGUUUAUAACUCGAUUCAUGAAUUUAUUUAAAAAAAAAGUUUACAACACCUUAAUAUAUAUUUAAGAAGAAGGUAAUAAUGCACUGCAGCAUAACAUACAUCAUGUAGAGUGUAUGAAUAUAUAAAGAUAGAAUAUCUUUAAAUUCUAAACUACACGAACAAAAUUUGGUUGCGUAUUAUAUUGUUUUUAAUUUUUAAAUAAAAAAAAAAAAUAAAAUUUAAAUUCAUGAAAGUUAAUCAAUAAAUAAUUACCUUUGAAAGAUGAAAUUUACCUCGGAAAUCAGCUUGCUAAUUUACAAUGGUCCUAAACGUCAAAAUCACGAAAACAUCUUCUCAUUAACACCAUGUUAUCUUUUGCAACAACUCUUAAUCUCGUGAUAGGAAAAUUGCACAAUUGAAGGACAACAAUUGUCUACAAGUGUUCAUCAAUUGUCCUAUUCAGACCCUUUGUGCAAUUUUAUUUGCUUUUAUUUUUUUUUUCAAUUUCAUUUUUUUUAAUAAGCUUUGAUUUCCUUUAUUUUUUAUUUAAUUAUCUCAAUCUCAUGAUUUGGACUUUAUAUUUGACAGGUUAACCUUAUUUGACUCACCUUUUAUUAUCUAGAUUACAAUUUUUUUAUGUUAACUUGCUUUGACUAAGAUUGAAAUGCAUCGUUUUUACCCAAUUACGUCCUUCCAUAUUUAUGAGUAAAGAAUUAAGAUGCGUUAUUUUUUCCUUUAAAAAAAAAAGGUUUCUUUUCCAAGUUAUCAUGAUUAUUUUUUGUAAAUGAUUUAUUUACUAUUAUUGCUUUUUAUAUCAUCUAAUUAAAAAAAACAAACUUAAUUGAUCUAAUCGAGUUUAUAACUCGAUUCAUGAAUUUUAUUUAAAAAAAUAUGUUUACAACACCUUAAUAUAUAUUUAAGAAGAAGGUAAUAAACACUGCACAUAACAUACAUCAGUAGAGUGUAUGAAAAUAUAAAGAUAGAAAUCUUUAAAUUCUAAACUACACGAACAAAAUUUGGUUGCGUAUUAUAUAAUUUUAUAAAAAUAAAAUAAAAAUAAUAAAAUUAAAUUCAUGAAAGUUUAAUCAAUAAAUAAUUACCUUUGAAAAGAUGAAAUUUAGCCUCGUGAAAUUCAGCUCUAAUUUUACAAUGGUCCUAAAACGUCAAAAUCACGAAAACAUCUUCUCAUUAACACCAUUAUCUUUUGCAACAACUCUUAAUCUCGGAUAGAAAAUUGCACAAUUGAAGGACAACAAUUGUCUACAAGUGUCAUCAAUUGUCCUAUUCAUUGACCCUUUUUGCAAUUUUAUUUGCUUUUAUUUUUUUUUUCAAUUUCAUUUUUUUAAUAAGCUUUGUGAUUUCUUUAUUUUUAUUUAAUUACUCAAUCUCAUGAUUGGACUUUAUAUUUGACAGGUUAACCUUAUUUGGACCACCUUUUAUUAUCUAGAUUACAAUUUUUUUAUGUUAACUUUGACUAAGAAUUGAAAUGCAUCGUUUUUUACCCAAUUACGUCCUUCCAUAUUUAUUGAGUAAAGAAUUAAGAUGCGUUAUUUUUUUCCUUUAAAAAAAAAGGUUUCUUUUCCAAGUUAUCAUGAUUAUUUUUUGUAAAUGAUUUAUUUACUAUUAUUGCUUUUUAUAUCAUCUAAUUAAAAUAAAACAAACUUAAUUGAUCUAAUCGAGUUUAUAACUCGAUUCAUGAAUUUUAUUUUAAAAAAAUAUGUUUACAACACCUUAAUAUAUAUUUUAAGAAGAAGGUAAUAAUUUAGCACUCCAGCAUAACAUACAUCAUGUAGAGUGUAUGAAUAUAUAAAGAUAGAAUAUCUUUAAAUUCUAAACUACACGAACAAAAUUUGGUUGCGUAUUAUAUUGUUUUUAAUUUUUAUAAAAUAAAAUAAAAAUAAUAAAAUUUAAAUUCAUGAAAGUUUAAUCAAUAAAUAAUUACCUUUGAAAGAUGAAAUUUAGCCUCGUGAAAUUCAGCUUGCUAAUUUUACAAUGGUCCUAAACGUCAAAAUCACGAAAACAUCUUCUCAUUAACACCAUGUUAUCUUUUGCAACAACUCUUAAUCUCGUGAUAGGAAAAUUGCACAAUUGAAGGACAACAAUUGUCUACAAGUGUUCAUCAAUUGUCCUAUUCAUUGACCCUUUUGUGCAAUUUUUAUUUGCUUUUUUUUUUUUUUCAAUUUCAUUUUUUUUUAAUAAGCUUUGUGAUUUCCUUUAUUUUUUUUAUUUAAUUAUCUCAAUCUCAUGAUUUGGACUUUAUAUUUGACAGGUUAACCUUAUUUGACUCACCUUUUAUUAUCUAGAUUACAAUUUUUUUUAUGUUAACUUGCUUUGACUAAGAAUUGAAAUGCAUCGUUUUUUACCCAAUUACGUCCUUCCAUAUUUAUUGAGUAAAGAAUUAAGAUGCGUUAUUUUUUUCCUUUAAAAAAAAAGGUUUCUUUUCCAAGUUAUCAUGAUUAUUUUUUGUAAAUGAUUUAUUUACUAUUAUUGCUUUUUAUAUCAUCUAAUUAAAAUAAAACAAACUUAAUUGAUCUAAUCGAGUUUAUAACUCGAUUCAUGAAUUUUAUUUUAAAAAAAUAUGUUUACAACACCUUAAUAUAUAUUUUAAGAAGAAGGUAAUAAUUUAGCACUCCAGCAUAACAUACAUCAUGUAGAGUAAAGAUAGAAUAUCUUUAAAUUUUAAACUACACGAACAAAAUUUGGUUGUAUAUUAUAUUGUUUUUAAUUUUUAUAAAAUAAAAUAAAAAUAAUAAGAUUUAAAUUCAUGAAAGUUUAAUCAAUAAAUAAUUACCUUUGAAAGAUGAAAUUUAGCCUCAUGAAAUUCAGCUUGCCAUUUUACAAUGGUCCUAAAUAUCAAAAUCUCGAAACCAUCUUCUCAUUAACACCAUGUUAUCUUUUGCAACAGCUCUUAAUCUCGUGAUAGGAACAUUGCACAAUUGAAGGACAACAAUUAUCUACAAGUGUUCAUCAAUUGUCCUAUUCAUUGACCCUUUUGUGCAAUUUUUAUUUGCUUUUAUUUUUUUUUUCUAUUUUUUUUUAAAUAAGCUUUGUGAUUUCCUUCAUUUUUUUUAUUUAAUUAUCUCAAUCUCAUGAUUUGGGCUUUAUAUUUGACAGGUUAACCUUAUUCGACUCACCUCUUAUUAUCUAGAUUACAAUUUUUUUAUGUUAACUCGCUUUGAUUAAGAAUUGAGAUGCAUCGUUUUUUACCCAAUUACGUCCUUCCAUAUUUAUUGACUAAGAAUUAAGAUGCAUUAUUUUUUUCCUUAAAAACAAAGGUUUCUUUUCCAAGUUAUCAUGAUUAUUUUUUGUAAAUGAUUUAUUUACUAUUAUUGCUUUUUAUAUCAUCUAAUUAAAAUAAAACAAACUUAAUUGAUCUAAUCGAGUUUAUAACUCGAUUCAUGAAUUUUAUUUAAAAAAAAAUAUGUUUACAACACCUUAAUAUAUAUUUUAAGAAGAAGGUAAUAAUUUAGCACUGCAGCAUAACAUACAUCAUGUAGAGUGUAUGAAUAUAUAAAGAUAGAAUAUCUUUAAAUUCUAAACUACACGAACAAAAUUUGGUUGCGUAUUAUAUUGUUUUUAAUUUUUAUAAAAUAAAAUAAAAAUAAUAAAAUUUAAAUUCAUGAAAGUUUAAUCAAUAAAUAAUUACCUUUGAAAGAUGAAAUUUAGCCUCGUGAAAUUCAGCUUGCUAAUUUUACAAUGGUCCUAAACGUCAAAAUCACGAAAACAUCUUCUCAUUAACACCAUGUUAUCUUUUGCAACAACUCUUAAUCUCGUGAUAGGAAAAUUGCACAAUUGAAGGACAACAAUUGUCUACAAGUGUUCAUCAAUUGUCCUAUUCAUUGACCCUUUGUGCAAUUUUUAUUUGCUUUUAUUUUUUUUUCAAUUUCAUUUUUUUUUAAUAAGCUUUGUGAUUUCCUUUUAUUUUUUUAUUUAAUUAUCUCAAUCUCAUGAUUUGGACUUUAUAUUUGACAGGUUAACCUUAUUCGACUCACCUUUUAUUAUCUAGAUUACAAUUUUUUUUAUGUUAACUUGCUUUGACUAAGAAUUGAAAUGCAUCGUUUUUUACCCAAUUACGUCCUUCCAUAUUUAUUGAGUAAAGAAUUAAGAUGCGUUAUUUUUUUCCUUUAAAAAAAAGGUUUCUUUUCCAAGUUAUCAUGAUUAUUUUUGUAAUGAUUUAUUUACUAUUAUUGCUUUUUAUAUCAUCUAAUUAAAAUAAAACAAACUUAAUUGAUCUAAUCGAGUUUAUAACUCGAUUCAUGAAUUUUAUUUUAAAAAAAAUAUGUUACAACACCUUAAUAUAAUAUUUUAAGAAGAAGGUAAUAAUUUAGCACUGCAGCAUAACAUACAUCAUGUAGAGUGUAUGAAUAUAUAAAGAUAGAAUAUCUUUAAAUUCUAAACUACACGAACAAAAUUUGGUUGCGUAUUAUAUUGUUUUUAAUUUUUAUAAAAUAAAAUAAAAAUAAUAAAAUUUAAAUUCAUGAAAGUUUAAUCAAUAAAUAAUUACCUUUGAAAGAUGAAAUUUAGCCUCGUGAAAUUCAGCUUGCUAAUUUUACAAUGGUUCUAAACGUCAAAAUCACGAAAACAUCUUCUCAUUAACACCAUGUUAUCUUUUGCAACAACUCUUAAUCUCGUGAUAGGAAAAUUGCACAAUUGAAGGACAACAAUUGUCUACAAGUGUUCAUCAAUUGUCCUAUUCAUUGACCCUUUUGUGCAAUUUUUAUUUGCUUUUAUUUUUUUUUUCAAUUUCAUUUUUUUUUAAUAAGCUUUGUGAUUUCUUUUAUUUUUUUUAUUUAAUUAUCUCAAUCUCAUGAUUUGGACUUUAUAUUUGACAGGUUAACCUUAUUUGACUCACCUUUUAUUAUCUAGAUUACAAUUUUUUUUAUGUUAACUUGCUUUGACUAAGAAUUGAAAUGCAUCGUUUUUUACCCAAUUACGUCCUUCCAUAUUUAUUGAGUAAAGAAUUAAGAUGCGUUAUUUUUUUCCUUUAAAAAAAAAGGUUUCUUUUCCAAGUUAUCAUGAUUAUUUUUUGUAAAUGAUUUAUUUACUAUUAUUGCUUUUUAUAUCAUCUAAUUAAAAUAAAACAAACUUAAUUGAUCUAAUCGAGUUUAUAACUCGAUUCAUGAAUUUUAUUUAAAAAAUAUGUUUACAACACCUUAAUAUAUAUUUUAAGAAGAAGGUAAUAAUUUAGCACUGCAGCAUAACAUACAUCAUGUAGAGUGUAUGAAUAUAUAAAGAUAGAAUAUCUUUAAAUUCUAAACUACACGAACAAAAUUUGGUUGCGUAUUAUAUUGUUUUUAAUUUUUAUAAAAUAAAAUAAAAAUAAUAAAAUUUAAAUUCAUGAAAGUUUAAUCAAUAAAUAAUUACCUUUGAAAGAUGAAAUUUAGCCUCGUGAAAUUCAGCUUGCUAAUUUUACAAUGGUCCUAAACGUCAAAAUCACGAAAACAUCUUCUCAUUAACACCAUGUUAUCUUUUGCAACAACUCUUAAUCUCGUGAUAGGAAAAUUGCACAAUUGAAGGACAACAAUUGUCUACAAGUGUUCAUCAAUUGUCCUAUUCAUUGACCCUUUUGUGCAAUUUUUAUUUGCUUUUAUUUUUUUUUUCAAUUUCAUUUUUUUUUAAUAAGCUUUGUGAUUUCCUUUAUUUUUUUUAUUUAAUUAUCUCAAUCUCAUGAUUUGGACUUUAUAUUUGACAGGUUAACCUUAUUUGACUCACCUUUUAUUAUCUAGAUUACAAUUUUUUUUAUGUUAACUUGCUUUGACUAAGAAUUGAAAUGCAUCGUUUUUUACCCAAUUACGUCCUUCCAUAUUUAUUGAGUAAAGAAUUAAGAUGCGUUAUUUUUUUCCUUUAAAAAAAAAAGGUUUCUUUUCCAAGUUAUCAUGAUUAUUUUUUGUAAAUGAUUUAUUUACUAUUAUUGCUUUUUAUAUCAUCUAAUUAAAAUAAAACAAACUUAAUUGAUCUAAUCGAGUUUAUAACUCGAUUCAUGAAUUUUAUUUUAAAAAAAUAUGUUUACAACACCUUAAUAUAUAUUUUAAGAAGAAGGUAAUAAUUUAGCACUCCAGCAUAACAUACAUCAUGUAGAGUAAAGAUAGAAUAUCUUUAAAUUUUAAACUACACGAACAAAAUUUGGUUGUAUAUUAUAUUGUUUUUAAUUUUUAUAAAAUAAAAUAAAAAUAAUAAGAUUUAAAUUCAUGAAAGUUUAAUCAAUAAAUAAUUACCUUUGAAAGAUGAAAUUUAGCCUCAUGAAAUUCAGCUUGCCAUUUUACAAUAGUCCUAAAUAUCAAAAUCUCGAAACCAUGUUCUUAUUAACACCAUGUUAUCUUUUGCAACAGCUCUUAAUCUCGUGAUAGGAACAUUGCAUAAUUGAAGGACAACAAUUGUCUACAAGUGUUCAUGAAUUGUCCUACUCAUUCACGGUUAAUCUUCAAAUCUCCAAGUAAAAUUCUUGUCAAUUCAAGUAAAUUUGCUCUGUUUCAUCUAAAGGUUUGCGUUUGCUAUUGGAUGCUGUCCCUAUAAGCACAAGAAUACAAACAGCAAAAAAAACAUAUUUUUUGAUGCUUUUAUUGCGUUUUUUAUUGGGCCUCAAAUACAAACCUGCCGGCUCAACCAAACACACUCGAGCUAAUUCCUCCCUUCAAUCCAUUAAUUGAUUGAAACUUAACUAUCCUAGUCUUGACUCGUAAAUCAAGUCUCAUUCUUGGUUUUGUUUUUUUUUUAGUGACCAGAUGUGAAGGUCCAUGCACUUCUAACAUGUCGACAAAGGAUCGACCUAACGUUUUGGCCUUUUCAACAACGUGUGCUAAUUUAGUUUUUUCUAGAAAAAAGUGAUGGAGGGUGUUCAAUUCAAGAUUUUAAUUAUAAUUUGUUGAUGUUAAAUUAGAUUUAAUGAAUGAUCUUGUAUUCAAUAAACUCUAGCUUAUAUAAUUAUGUUUUUAUUUACUUUUGGAUUAUGAACUAUCAAAGCAAGUACAUUACUUGCUGGGUUUCUUUUAAUCAAAACAUUAAGCAAAAUGUCAUUUGCAUAGAAGGGAACAUUUCAUCAACUUUCUACUACAUUUAGAAAACACAAAAGCUGUUUUAUUGCAUAACUUGUAUGAAUAACUAGAAAACAUUAUCAUAUUUCUUAUUAAAAUCAAAUUCAGUACAAUACUGGUCCAGUAAAGACAUUGAUAUAUGAUGCUCAAACCAAUUACAUAUCUCUAGCUAAUUAAUCCCAUGGUGUCCCUUUCCUUUCCCUUUUCUCGAGGAGAGUGGAAGAGGUGGGAUGCUCUGCUCAUGCCUGAAGAAGUUGUCGGGAUCAACUUUGGUCUUGGCUUGUACCAACCUGUUGAAGUUGCUCUUGAAGUACUUGGUACCCCAGACACUUGCUUCUUUAACGCUUGUGUUCCUCUUCUUGUUCAUCCCCAGAUCAAGGUCCCUGUAAUUGACAUAUGCUUGCCUUGGAAACAUGGAAACAUAAGGUGCCAUGUAGUUGUAAAGCUUCCUGAUCCAAUUUAUAUGCUUUGAAGCAUCCUCUGAAGGAGUUUGCCAGCUGGUCAAGUACUGGAUCUUGAAGAGGAUACCUUUUCUGUGUGGGAAAGGAAUUGAUGACUCUGAAAUCUUGCUCAUCAUUCCACCGUAAGGAUUCCAUAUCAUGAAAGGAGUCACUUCUUGAAAAUACCUUUUCCAUAUACCCUCCAGUGCGGUUUCAGGUAUGGGAUGUUGGACAAAAUCUGACUUGGCUUUGAAGUAGUUCUUGAAUGUUGACUUUCCCUGAAGCAGAACUUCAGGAGGUGUAUUGGCUGGGUAGCCUGCGAUGUAUAACACGGAUUUCAGCCAGGUAGUUUCGACGCAAUCCUUUCGUGUCAAGCCCAAUUCAGGGAAGCCAGUCUUCAUGACAUCGAGCAGUCUGCUGGCAUCACCAAGAAACAAGGCAUUGUAAGAAGUUGUAACAGUUCUUUGACCCUUUUUCGUACCAUUAGCUGCUUGUAUGAUGACUCUGAUGAAGAGAUCCUCAUCAAGUUUAUCAGCAACUUGCUGCCAUCUGUAGAGAAGCUUAGUGCCACCCUGUUCCAGGGUCUUGGUAACUGUAAAAACAGUCACAGUUGAUGGAACUGGAACCAGUUUUACUUUCCAUGCAGUAAUGAUACCAAAGCUGGCUCCUCCACCUCCCCUAAUUGCCCAAAAAACAUCCUCUCCCAUGGAUUGUCUUUCAAGAACCCUGCCACUAGCAUCAAUUAUACGAGCAUCAAUGACAUUGUCAGCACCAAGGCCAUACUUUCUCAUCAUGGAACCGUAAGCACCUCCUGUAAUGUGCCCACCAAUGCCUAAACUGCUGCAAAGGCCAGCUGGGAAGCCAUGAGUUUUGCUUUUUUCAGCAAUUCUAUAGUAAAGCUCACCGAUUGUAGCA